rnacentral:rRNA from 1 species
UGAGGAAUAUUGGUCAAUGGGCGAGAGCCUGAACCAGCCAAGUCGCGUGAGGGAUGACGGCCCUACGGGUUGUAAACCUCUUUUGCCGGGGAGCAAUGCUCCGCACGAGUGCGGAGCGGGAGAGUACCCGGAGAAAAAGCAUCGGCUAACUCCGUGCCAGCAGCCGCGGUAAUACGGAGGAUGCGAGCGUUAUCCGGAUUUAUUGGGUUUAAAGGGUGCGUAGGCGGAACGCCAAGUCAGCGGUAAAAAGUUCGGGGCUCAACCCCGUCGUGCCGUUGAAACUGGUGUCCUUGAGUGGGCGAGAAGUAUGCGGAAUGCGUGGUGUAGCGGUGAAAUGCAUAGAUAUCACGCAGAACUCCGAUUGCGAAGGCAGCAUACCGGCGCCCGACUGACGCUGAAGCACGAAAGCGUGGGUAUCGAACAGGAUUAGAUACC